AAUGAACGCUGGCGGCGUGCCUAAUACAUGCAAGUCGCACGAAGCGGGGACGGGGGAGUAACACGUGGAGAAACUCCUAUAUGACUGGGAAAACUUCGGGAAAACGGAGCUAAACCGGAAUCUUAUAGAAGAAUCCGCGCUGCAUUAGCUAGUUGGUAAGGUAACGGCUUACCAAGGCAAAGAUUAAUAGCCGACCUGAGAGGGUUAUCUGCCACACUGGAACUGAGACACGGUCCAGCCUCCUACGGGAGGCCGCAGUAGGGAAUCUUCCGCAAUGGGCGAAAGCCUGACUGAGCAACGCCGCGUGAGUGAAGAAGGUUUUCGGAUCGUAAAGCUCUGUUGUUAAGGAAGCGGUACUUAACCAGAAAGGGACGGCUAACUACGUGCCAGCAGCCGCGGUAAUAC
rnacentral:rRNA from 1 species